rnacentral:rRNA from 1 species
GAGUUUGAUCUUGGCUCAGAUUGAACGCUGGCGGCAUGCCUUACACAUGCAAGUCGAACGGCAGCACGGGAGCUUGCUCCUGGUGGCGAGUGGCGAACGGGUGAGUAAUGCAUCGGAACGUAUCCUGGAGUGGGGGAUAACGUAGCGAAAGUUACGCUAAUACCGCAUAUUCUGUGAGCAGGAAAGCGGGGGACCUUCGGGCCUCGCGCUCUUGGAGCGGCCGAUGUCGGAUUAGCUAGUUGGUGAGGUAAAGGCUCACCAAGGCGACGAUCCGUAGCAGGUCUGAGAGGAUGAUCUGCCACACUGGAACUGAGACACGGUCCAGACUCCUACGGGAGGCAGCAGUGGGGAAUUUUGGACAAUGGGGGC